UACAGAGGUCCCAAGCGUUGUUCGGAUUCACUGGGCGUAAAGGGUUCGUAGGUGGCUUGCUAAGUCAGACGUGAAAUCCCUCAGCUUAACUGGGGAACUGCGUCUGAGACUGGCGAGCUUGAGUGCAGGAGAGGAACGCGGAAUUCCAGGUGUAGCGGUGAAAUGCGUAGAUAUCUGGAGGAACACCGGUGGCGAAGGCGGCGUUCUGGACUGCAACUGACACUGAUGAACGAAAGCCAGGGGAGCAAACGGG
rnacentral:rRNA from 1 species